UACGUAGGGGGCAAGCGUUGUCCGGAUUUAUUGGGCGUAAAGAGCGUGUAGGCGGCCUUACAGGUCAGCUGUGAAAACUCGAGGCUCAACCUCGAGACGUCGGUUGAAACCGUAUGGCUAGAGUCCGGAAGAGGGUCGCGGAAUUCCCGGUGUAGAGGUGAAAUUCGUAGAUAUCGGGAGGAACACCAGUGGCGAAGGCGGCGACCUGGGCCAAUAUUGACGCUGAGGUGCGAAAGCGUGGGGAGCAAACAGG
rnacentral:rRNA from 1 species